AGCAGCCGCGGUAAUUCCAGCUCCAAUAGCGUAUAUUAAAGUUGUUGCAGUUAAAAGCUCGUAGUUGAAUUUCGGGAUUGACGUGACGGUCAUGCCUUAAGGGGUAUGAACUGUUACAGUUGAUUUCUCACCUUCUGGAGAAACUUGAUGUCCUUUAUUGGGUGUCUUGCGGAUCCAGGACCUUUACCUUGAAAAAAUUAGAGUGUUUAAAGCAGGCAUUUUUGCUCGAAUACAUUAGCAUGGAAUAAUAGAAUAGGACGGCAUGGUUCUAUUUUGUUGGUUUCUAGGAUCACCGUAAUGAUUAAUAGGGAUAGUUGGGGGCAUUAGUAUUCAAUUGUCAGAGGUGAAAUUCUUGGAUUUAUUGAAGACUAACUACUGCGAAAGCGUUUGCCAAGGAUGUUUUCAUUAAUCAAGACGAAAGUUAGGGGAUCGAAGACGAUCAGAUACCGUCGUAGUCUUAACCAUAAACUAUGCCGACUAGGGAUCGGAUGAUGUAAUUUUUAAUGAUUCAUUCGGCGUC
rnacentral:rRNA from 1 species